UACAGAGGGGGCAAGCGUUGUUCGGAAUUACUGGGCGUAAAGGGCGCGUAGGCGGCCUGUUAAGUCGAACGUGAAAUCCCCGGGCUCAACCCGGGAACUGCGUCCGAUACUGGCAGGCUUGAAUCCGGGAGAGGGAUGCGGAAUUCCAGGUGUAGCGGUGAAAUGCGUAGAUAUCUGGAGGAACACCGGUGGCGAAGGCGGCAUCCUGGACCGGCAUUGACGCUGAGGCGCGGAAAGCCAGGGGAGCAAACGGG
rnacentral:rRNA from 1 species